GGGCAUCGGAUGAGACACAUGGGAGGGGGGCAAUUUUUGGUGGAUUCUAGUUACGCCUCUGCAUACAACCCUCACCAUUAACUCCCUUCCUUCCCAACAAUGUGUAUGCUCUGGCUAACUUUAGUUUUGCAUUAAAAAGGCAGAAUUUAUGACAUGUUGCCAUAAGGGUUUUGCCCAAUGUUCUGAUCAACAGUUAAAGUUCUUGUUACAUGUUACAUCUACCUUGGUAAAGUUCUAUCUAUACCCUUAUGAUAUACCUCUUGUUAUGCCAUACACCAUACUUCUAAUCUACUUAUCAUUAAUAUUGUGGCAUUUACAGCUUGUAUGUGAUCUUUUCUCUGUUAUAAAAUAAAAUGGUGCUAACUCCUCAACAUAUUCUAAUACCUUACUGUGACCAGCAUGUAACCAACGUAAUGUUAUUUCUUGUCUGUUAUGUCAUGAAAGCACCUGGAAAGACAAAAUGUAA